AUUUUUUAAAAUUAUUUGAAUAUUAAAUAAAUUGUAUGUCAAUUCAAGUAACUUGUAAAAUAAUAUAAAAAUUAUCAUAAUUCCCUCCCACAUCACAUUCUAACCCUACGCACUAUCUCUCUCCCACAUACACGUUCUCCCCUCUGCCGUCUGUUACAGAAAACGCAGCCUUUCCUCGACCGCCAUCGUCAACCCCCUCUCAGCCUUCCUCCGCCAUCUGGUGCAGAAAACCGCCGACUCUCCCUCAAUUGCCGUCGUCAGCCGUCCUCUUCCUCAACCGUCGGCGACGGCCGCCCUCAGCUGAGAACAAGCAAUUUCAGACGACAUUCCCAACGACAACAUAUAGUUUCAGAUGCCGUUUCACACCAUAUUCUGCAUCAGAAAGACUAUGAAAUCCUCCCGCAAACAGACUGCUUUAACCAUCCUAAAAUCUGACACAAAAAUGAUAUAGAUAGAGCUAUCAUGUGGAAGAAAGUACGAGUGCCUAGAAGUGGUGACAUAGAAGACGAGAAGUUGAGAAGUUAAAGAAGACUAUAUAUGAAGAAGAUUGAUAUCGAACUUAUGGCCAAAAGAUAUUGAUGAAGUUCGUGUUGAGUGGGCAAGCUUGUUGCUGGAACACAUAUAGUAUGACAGAUUUUUAUUUUAGCUAUGUAAUAUGUCAAUACUUGAUAUUGUAAAUUUUGAAUUGAAUUUUGGGUUUGACAUUUGUAUUAAUACUUGCUAUAAGAUUGUUGGAUGAAAUAAUUUGAUUUUGAAUGCAAAUGAAAUUUCUUGUA